UCCUUAUUGGCUUAGGUGGUUAUGGUGUUGGAUUCUGGCUUUUGCCGAACCCAAGAGUUUUUGAGUUCAAUUCCCGACUCAGGCA